rnacentral:tRNA from 1 species
GCCUGGGUGGCUCAGUCGGUUGAGCGUCGACUUCGGCUCAGGUCAUGAUCUCGCGGUACGUGGGUUCGAGCCCCACGCUGGGCU